UACAGAGGUCUCAAGCGUUGUUCGGAUUUAUUGGGCGUAAAGGGCGCGUAGGCGGUGCGGUAAGUCACCUGUGAAACCUCUAGGCUUAACCUAGAGCCUGCAGGCGAAACUGCCGUGCUGGAGUGUGGGAGAGGCGCGUGGAAUUGCAGGUGUAGCGGUGAAAGGCGUAGAUAUCUGCAGGAACACCCGUGGCGAAAGCGGCGCGCUGGACCACUACUGACGCUGAGGAACGAAAGCUAGGGGAGCAAACAGG
rnacentral:rRNA from 1 species